AUUUACAGAAAGAUAAAGCACACCUGAAAAAUGCCCUCAUAAGACCAACUAAAUGAUCAAUAAAGUAAAUUAGUAUUUUAAGACUAAUGACUUCUUCACCGCAAGACAAUGGCUAAAAGAACAUAGGUUCAAAAUGUAUAGAGAAAUGCUUCCUCCACCACGAGUCAGCCUCCUCAUUUUCUGCAGCAUUUUCCAUCUGUGUCAUUGGCGUAGUACACACGUGCCUGACCUAGAUGUUUACUGGCAUUUGCAGCAUCGUGAUUAUCUUCCUCAUCAUUAUCUUUGAAGCCCAACUGAAAUGAUGCCCUGUAACUACGGGUCUGUGAGUUGUUUUGGAACAGGAUGUAUCAGCCUGUCAGCAUUGUUUGCAACAGAACUGAAGAAUAGCAAUUUCCCCGAGAGAGAGAGAGUGAAAGAAAAACUUGUGGUGGAAGCCAGCCAUCAGCAACUCCUAGAGCCAUCCACCUGUUACCCUGGCAUCAGGGAAAGUACAUUAGGUAAUUCAGAUUCUCCUGGGCUCAAAUCCUCGUCUCUGCUGCACAUGACAUCCAAG
rnacentral:lncRNA from 1 species